rnacentral:rRNA from 1 species
GACGAACGCUGGCGGCGUGCUUAACACAUGCAAGUCGAACGGAAAGGCCCUGCUUUUGUGGGGUGCUCGAGUGGCGAACGGGUGAGUAACACGUGAGUAACCUGCCCUUGACUUUGGGAUAACUUCAUGAAACUGGGGCUAAUACCGGAUAGGAGCUCCUGCUGCAUGGUGGGGGUUGGAAAGUUCCGGCGGUUGGGGAUGGACUCGCGGCUUAUCAGCUUGUUGGUGGGGUAGUGGCUUACCAAGGCUUUGACGGGUAGCCGGCCUGAGAGGGUGACCGGCCACAUUGGGACUGAGAUACGGCCCAGACUACAACGGGAGGCAGCAGUGGGGAAUAUUGCACUAUGGGAGGAAGCAUGAUGCAGAAAAGCAGCGUGCGGGAUGACGGCCUUCGGGUUGUAAACCGAUGUCGCCUGUGACGAAGCGUGAGUGACGGUAAUGGGUAAAGAAGCACCGGCUAACUACGUG